rnacentral:lncRNA from 1 species
UCCUCCGACCUUGUUGCCCUCCUCCUUUGUCACUGUGGAGAAACAGGAAGGAAUGUUUAUUAGCAAGACUGACUGGGUCACACCCAAGGCAAUUUCAGAUUUUUACCUCUCCCAGCCCUGGGAAGAGGUUCAAGGAUCAAGGACCAAGCU